rnacentral:rRNA from 1 species
GAACGCGUGAGAACCUGCCUCUUGGCCGGGGACAACAGUUGGAAACGGCUGCUAAUCCCGGAUGAGCCGAAAGGUAAAAGAUUAAUCGUCAAGAGAGGGGCUUGCGUCUGAUUAGCUAGUUGGUAGUGUAAGAGACUACCAAGGCGACGAUCAGUAGCUGGUCUGAGAGGAUGAUCAGCCACACUGGGACUGAGACACGGCCCAGACUCCUACGGGAGGCAGCAGUGGGGAAUUUUCCGCAAUGGGCGAAAGCCUGACGGAGCAAGACCGCGUGGGGGAGGAAGGUUGUUGGAUUGUCAACCCCUUUUCUCAGGGAAGAAGAAAGUGACGGUACCUGAGGAAGAAGCAUCGGCUAACUCCGUGCCAGCAGCCGCGGUAAUACGGAGGAUGCAAGCGUUAUCCGGAAUGAUUGGGCGUAAAGAGUCCGUAGGUGGCCCUUCAAGUCUGCUGUUAAAGACCGAGGCUCAACUUCGGAAAAGCAGUGGAAACUGGAGAGCUAGAGUGUGGUAGGGGCAGAGGGAAUUCCUGGUGUAGCGGUGAAAUUCGUAGAGAUCAGGAAGAACACCGGUGGCGAAAGCGCUCAGCUGGCCACUAACUGACACU